UGUAGGUCAGAGAGCUGCAGGGAGCGACACGAGGAUCAAGACGACAGAUUCCCCGCAGAAACACCAACGCGGUUGCAGGAGAUCAGAGAUUUUCACUGACGUGAAUUUGAGCGUGCAGUUCUGCCAGUCGAAGGGGAAGAAGUUCACGUUGAUGGAGCAGGAGGAGCGGAAGAUGGCAGGAGAACGAUCUCUGGCAGCCACACCAUGCUGGACGGAAGACGAAGCAUCUGGAUGCCGUCGAACUCCGAUGCGUUCCACGAGAGCCUGUAAGGACGAUUCACCAGAGAGAUGAGGUUGGAGAGCGUCAGAGCCAGAGACACCUCCACAACGUCCUGCUGCCGCUGCACGGGCCUCAGCUCCUUGUUGUAUCCUUUCUCCUUGAACAGGUAGCUGAUGAGACGCUCCUCCUCGUUCCUGCACAAACACUCUGGCACAAGAGCGGCUUCAGUCAACACUCACCUCUAUCAUCUCUCAUUGGUGGCUUUGAUUUCAGUCUGCAGGGCAGCCUCCUUUUUACCACAAAACACCACAAGUACCACUACAUACCACAGAGUACCACAAAACACCACAGAGUACCACUAAAUACCACAGAGUACCACUAAACACCACAGAGUUCUACUAAAUACCACAGAGUACCACAAAACACCACAGAGUACCACUAAAUACCACAGAGUACCACUAAACACCACAGAGUUCUACUAAAUACCACAGAGUAGCACAAAAUACCACAGAGUACCACUACAUACCACAGAGUACCACAAAACACCACAGAGUACCACUAAACACCACAGAGUUCUACUAAAUACCACAGAGUACCACAAAACACCACAGAGUACCACUAAAUACCACAGAGUACCACUAAACACCACAGAGUUCUACUAAAUACCACAGAGUAGCACAAAAUACCACAGAGUACCACUACAUACCACAGAGUACCACAAAACACCACAAGUACCACUACAUACCACAGAGUACCACAAAACACCACAGAGUACCACUAAAUACCACAGAGUACCACUAAACACCACAGAGUUCUACUAAAUACCACAGAGUAGCACAAAAUACCACAGAGUACCACUAAAUACCACAGAGUACCACUAAAUACAACAAAGUACAACCAAAUACCACAGAGUACCACGAAAUAUAACUAAGUACCACACAAUACCACAGAGUACCACAAAAUACCACAGAGGACCACUGAAUACCACAGAGUACCACUAAAUACCACUAAGUACAACUAAAUACCAAAGAGUACAACAAAAUAGCUCAAGUACCACAAAAUACAAUGGAGAACCACUAAAUACCACAAGUACCACAAAAUACUACUGAGUACAACCAAAUACCACAGAGUACCACUAAAUAUCACAGAGUACCACAAAAAACCACAAGUACCACAAAAUAACACAAAGUACCACAAAAUACAACAGAGUACAACCAAACACCACAGAGUACCACUAAAUACCACAAAGUACAACCAAAUACAACAAAGUACAACCAAAUACCACAGAGUACCACGAAAUAUAACUAAGUACCACAUAAUACCACAGAGUACCACAAAAUACCACAGAGGACCACUGAAUACCACAGAGUACCACUAAAUACCACUAAGUACAACUAAAUACCACUAAGUACAACUAAAUACCACUAACUACAACUAAAUACCAAAGAGUACAACAAAAUAGCUCAAGUACCACAAAAUACAAUGGAGAACCACUAAAUACCACAAAAUACUACUGAGUACAACCAAAUACCACAGAGUACCACUAAAUAUCACAGAGUACCACAAAAACCACAAGUACCACAAAAUAACACAGAGUACCCCUAAGUACCACAGAGUACCACUAAAUAACACAGAAACAGCUAAAUACCACAGAGUACCACUAAGUACCACAGAGUACCACAAAAUAUCACAGAGGACCACUGAAUACCACAGAGUACCACUAAAUACCACCAAGUACAACUAGAUACCACUAAGUACAACUAAAUACCAAAGAGUACAACAAAAUAGCUCAAGUACCACAAAAUACAAUGGAGAACCACUAAAUACCACAAGUACCACAAAAUACUACUGAGUACAACCAAAUACCACAGAGUACCACAAAAAACCACAAGUACCACAAAAUAACACAGAGUACCACUAA